rnacentral:rRNA from 1 species
UGAAGGCUGGCGGCAUGCCUUACACAUGCAAGUCGAACGGCAGCACGGGAGCUUGCUCCUGGUGGCGAGUGGCGAACGGGUGAGUAAUACAUCGGAACGUACCCAGGAGUGGGGGAUAACGUAGCGAAAGUUACGCUAAUACCGCAUAUUCUGUGAGCAGGAAAGCGGGGGAUCGCAAGACCUCGCGCUAUUGGAGCGGCCGAUGGCGGAUUGGCCAGUUGGUGAGGUAAAAGCUCACCAAGGCGACGAUCCGUAGCAGGUCUGAGAGGAUGAUCUGCCACACUGGGACUGAGACACGGCCCAGACUCCUACGGGAGGCAGCAGUGGGGAAUUUUGGACAAUGGGGGCAACCCUGAUCCAGCCAUGCCGCGUGAGUGAAGAAGGCCUUCGGGUUGUAAGGCUCUUUCGGCGGGGAAGAAAUGGCAACGGCUAAUAUCCGUUGUUGAUGACGGUACCCGCAUAAGAAGCACCGGCUAACUACGUGCCAGCCGCCGCCGUAA